GCCACGGGGCGCGGGGCAGCCCGCCUGGCCCCAGGGUGCACUGCGGCCACGUGCGCGCGCGCGCCUCCACUGCCGAGCGACUGCGGGAAAAUUCCAAAAGUCGAAACAAAACAGAAAAGCAAUACGAGGCAAAGCCAGAUUUUCAAGCCACAGAACCCCGGCGGUGGCGCCCUUUCCGCCACCGCCCAAACUGCUGAAGCAGCUCUGGCGCGGACCACCCGAUUUGCUGCGUGCUCACUGUCUCCCUCAGCGCUUGGCAGGCCACUGUGGAGGUGCAUCCCCUUUUCCCUUUCCUGAGAUGGCUCAAGACUCAGUAGGCCUUUCUUCUGAUUACCAGUUUUGGAUGCAGAAGGUUUCUACAUGGGACCAGGCCUCCACUGUGGAAACCCAGCAAGACACCUGUCUUCACCUGCCUCGGUUUCAGGAGUUCCUGAGGCAGAUGUAUGAAGCCUUGAAAGAGAUGGAUUCAAAUACAGUCAUUGAAAGAUUCCCCACAAUUGGUCAACUGUUGGCAAAAACUUGCCGGAAUCCUUUUAUCUUAGCGUAUGAUGAAAGCCAAAAAAUUCUAAUAUGGUGCUUAUGUUGUCUGAUUAACAAAGAACCACAGAAUUCUGGAGACUCAAAACUUAACUCCUGGACACGGGGGCUGUUAUGUCAUGUACUUUCAGCAUUCAGAUUUGAUAUAAGAGAAGUUGGUCUUUUUACUCAAGGUCUUGGCUAUGCACCUGCAGAUUACUAUCCUGGUUUGCUUAAAAAUAUGGUUUUAUCGUUAGUGUCUGAACUCAGAGAGAAUCAUCUUAAUGGAUUUAACACUCAAAGACGAAUGACUCCUGAACGAGUGAGGGCCCUGUCACGAGUUUGUGUCCCGCUUAUUACUCUGCCGGAUUUUGAACCCCUGGUGGAGGCGCUGCUCACCUGCCAUGGAUGUGAACCUCAGGAGGUGCUCUGGCCUGAGUUCUUCGAUGCUGUGAGUGAGGCCUUUUUGCUGAAGAAGAUUUCUCUCCCCACGUCCGCGGUAGUCUGCCUCUGGCUUCGGCACCUUCCCAGCCUUGAAAAAGCAAUGCUGCACCUUUUCGAAAAGCUAAUCUCCAGUGAGAGAAAUUUUCUGAGGAUCGAACGCUUCGUGAGAGAUUCCUCGCUGCCUGAAGCCGCCUGCCACCCUGCCAUAUUCAGAAUUGUUGACGAAACAUUCAGGUACGCACUCCUGGAAACUGAUGGAGCCCCAGAAAUCCUGGCCACCAUUCAAGUGUUUACACGGUGUUUCUUAGAAGCUCUGGAAAAAGAAAACAAGCAGCUUAAGUUUGCCCUGAGGACCUACUUUCCUUAUGCUUCGCCAUCUCUUGUCACGGCGCUACUCCAGCACCCGAAAGAUAUCCCACAGGGACUCUGGCACCAGUCACUGCAACAUAUUUCAGAAAUGCUCCGAGAAAUAGUUGAAGACCAGACUCACGGGUCCUAUGGAGGCCCCUCUGACUGCUGGUUUGCAUUCAUUCACUUUGGAGGCUGGGCUGAUGUCGCUGCUGAGCAGUUACUGAGGUCAGAAGCUGAUCCUCCUGAAGCAGUGCUGUGGCUCUUGGCCUUUAGCUACAGUCCACGUGACGGGAGUCAGCAGAGGGCACAGACCAUGGAGGAGGUGAAGGCAGUGCUCGGCCGCCUCCUGAAGCUGCUCAGAAGUCCAGGCUUCUCGGCCAGGGAUGUGCAGGCAGCAGCUGGACAGAGCCGAGAAGAAGCCCCCAGGCCACUGGAGUGUGGACCGCUGAUCAGGCGCCUCCUCCUGAACUUCCUGCUCUGGGCUCCUGGAGCCCACGCGAUUGCCCAGGAAGUCAUCACCCUUAUGGCUCCAACUCGUGAGAUAACCCACGAGAUUACUGGCUUCCUCGACCAGACCCUGUACAGAUGGGAUCAUCUUUGCACCACAGCCCCUGCGUCGAGAAAACUGGCCAGCGAGCUCCUCACAGAGCUGCGCGGGCAAGUCUAGCACAGGCCCAUUGGAGAUGUCGUGGCCAUGCAGGGGCCUGGGGUUGCCAGGGCCAUGAACGAAAUGAGGAGGCUGCUUCUUAGGGCUCCAAGUUUGUAGUAUGAGUACCCUCUCUGAGCUGUCAGGAUGAGCCAAGAACAUCUUGGCAAGUUCUAGUGGUACAUAUUUUACACGUUGAGAAGACAGGUGCUGUAGCCCAAACCUAGAUUUAGUCACUAGUGGCUGGCUUAUGCCUCCAGAUUCCCUGUGCCUGCCCAGCCCAGGACGCCCAUUACAGAAUCACUGAAGAAGGGCUGGCUGGAGAGCAUUUCCCAUGCCAACCAAGAUGCACAACUAUUAUGUGAAUGUGUCAAAGUCUUUGGACCCAGAAAUUGGUCAUGAACUACUGAUCAAUUUAGACAGGAACUUAGCCCUUUUCCACAGACCUUUUCCAGAAGUCAGGUGAUUGUUACUGGUAUUUCUUUUAAUCCACAGGGAUUUGAGAUAAAGCCCCAUUCUCUUUCUUCCCUAAGAAAGUCUUCAUUCAGGAGGGUCAGGACCCCUGGAGUUUCCCUUGGCGCCCCCCGAGCAGGCCCAGGGGAAGCAGAGCCCACCCGCCCAGGGGCAGGUGUGGUGCAGGGCCGCUGCUCACCGGGGCUGCGUGCUGGCCCUGCUGUGGACGGCACCACUGCCCAGCGGGGAAUAGCCGGUCUGGUGCUGGCUUUUCCUGCUCUCUAUUUGCUGAACACUGACUGCCACCAAAAGAAUUGAUAUCACCUCAAAGACGGCUGAGAGAGGAGGGUCCAGGAUGCGUUCCAGAAACAUCGGAAGAGAUGAGGAAACUGAAGCCCAGAAAGGUUCUGCAGACGACAGCUCACAGGGCUGGGACCUGAGCAGAGGAACCUACGGACUGCGCACUGUGCCUCUCGAGGCCAGGAUGUUCCGACAAUGGAGACAUCAAAAUAGAGGCAAAGUAUGUGCCAAUCGUGAAACAUUCUGCCACACAGAAGAAUCACUGUGUACUCUGUUUCCAUCUGAGCACGACGCAGGGUGUGGACAUGCGUUUGCUGGAGCGCAUCCUUAGAGUCUCUGCUGCGGCAGAGACGGGUCAGUCUCCUAACAGGGACGAGUUUGGAGAAGGGACCAGGACAACAGGGGGAGGAACACUUACUUUUUGCUUACAAAUUGUUUAUAUUUGUUUCCGUGUUUGAUGUAUGCACAACCAGAAGCUCAAAUCAUCAAUACACAAGGGAAGGUU